AUUUAUAUAGUUUAAACACUAAAAAACAUUACAUUUUCACUGUAAAAAUAAAAAUAUAUUUUUUAUAAAUA
rnacentral:tRNA from 1 species